GAAGUUUUCAGAGAUGAGAAUGUGCCUUCGGGAACCGUGAGACAGGUGCUGCAUGGCUGUCGUCAGCUCGUGUUGUGAAAUGUUGGGUUAAGUCCCGCAACGAGCGCAACCCUUAUCCUUUGUUGCCAGCGGUCCGGCCGGGAACUCAAAGGAGACUGCCAGUGAUAAACUGGAGGAAGGUGGGGAUGACGUCAAGUCAUCAUGGCCCUUACGACCAGGGCUACACACGUGCUACAAUGGCGCAUACAAAGAGAAGCGACCUCGCGAGAGCAAGCGGACCUCAUAAAGUGCGUCGUAGUCCGGAUUGGAGUCUGCAACUCGACUCCAUGAAGUCGGAAUCGCUAGUAAUCGUGGAUCAGAAUGCCACGGUGAAUACGUUCCCGGGCCUUGUACACACCGCCCGUCACACCAUGGGAGUGGGUUGCAAAAGAAG
rnacentral:rRNA from 1 species